UCAUAAAUAUAUGUCAGCUCUUUAAAAGUUUUUGUUAAGACACUCAUGUCAUUACAUUCCAUGCCUUGCUGCCAUUGUAUUUCCACCUCUUGGCAUAAUAAAUGCACCUCCAGCCAGUAAAUAUUUAUCUCCAAGUUAGCAAGAGUUCUACUACUAUAGGGUGUUUUGUUUUCUUUGUUUUGUGGGACUCCAUAAGGAGACAAACCCCCAACAUGUCCUUGUGGCAUUGUAUGUAUUGCAUCUCCAUCAUCUACAACCACUCUUUAAGGAAAUAAUCUGCCACCCAUUCAAAUGAAGGAUACACCUUCUUAAUCUCUAGAACUUUUACAUUUUGUUUCUUGUAUCCUCCUGUGCCUAUAGGGAUCCAAUUUCACAACAGUGUUUGUUUCCCUUCAUCAAUGGUGGUUUGCUCCAACCUGACAAAAAACAUUGGUCUAUCCCUUAUUCGUAUUUAAUCAAAAUAUAACUAUAGUAGGAAACCUAUCCACUCAAAUUCUAGACCUAUUGCCACUUUACAUAAAUCCAUCUAGAAUAUAGUUCUUCUGCCUACAUCCCCAUGAUCCAUUGAAAAAGUGUAUCAAUGAUACAUAUCAUAUGUUCACAGAUCCUCAAACACCCCUAAUGUCCUCAAACAGUCAGUAAAUGAACUCCAAUAGGUAUGCAUAUUCCCACCCAUAUCCCAACCAAACCAUGUGAAAAUAAUUUUAUUUCAAAGUUCAAAACCCACAUUGGUUGUAUACUAAAUCUUCCUUCUUCAAGAAUCCUUUGUGGCUACUUCACAAAAAAAGAUAUUAUAAAUAGGUCAUCUAUCUUCCCACAUGCACCAUUCAGAAAAUGGUAUCAAUAGGAACUCCAUACCCACAUACAUCCAUCCCAGCAUUUUUCAUGGCGAAAUAGGUCAUCUAUCUUCCCACAUGCCCCAUUCAGAAAAUGGUAUCAGUAGGAACUCCAUACCCACAUACAUCCAUCCCAGCAUUUUUCAUGGCCCUUGUCACCAAAUUUUCAUGCAUCCUUGAACAUUCACUUAGCCAAAAAUUGACUUUUACUCCCAAUAGCAUCCAUGUAAUCACCACUUCCAAGAAACUGAUCUAUAAUAUGCAGGGCGUCUACCUCCAUGUUGAGCCCUUGAUGCAUGAUUUUCUACACUCCAUGAGUAUGAAUGCCCAAAUGACUCAAGAGUGCACCUAUUUGAAUACUUAUAGAUACAAUUGGGUAACUACAAAAUCAAAAUUCUGCUCAAAUAUGUUAUAACUUAUCUUACUCCAAAUGAACCCAGAAUCCGUUGUAGAGAGCACACCUAUUGCAUCACCUCCUUUAGUUUCUCCAUUCAUGUCCCAUGGAUUCCCUUCAUACAGUUCACAUGCUUCUUCCACUACCAUCCACAUGGGAUUCUUCCUAGUAGACCCAGGAAAGACCCUCAAACCAUCCAUCAUUGGAACAAAUAGAAAGGAGGGAAAAAGGUGAAGAUUGGUGUGAAAAUGUCUAUAGGAAUUCUUUGAGAAUCUCAACGAGUAAGGCUAGCAAAAAAACUGCCUCUUGAUAGGAUCCUGAUUAGUGAAUCCUCUUUUCAGCUGUGUUUUAUAGAGACAACUAUUUCAAACCAUGCAAAUUUGAACCUUGAUUGAAAUCUUAAUCUUCCAUUUCCAUGUUCCUUGAGUAUCUCUUAAUUUUAUCUCCACUACUUGACUUGCAAUUAUAUGUUUUGUCUAUUAGUUCAUAGUCACAUGAAUUUAUCCUUUUGUACUUGAACUUAAUUCAAACUAUGUAUAUGUUUUUAAUCUUGACUUUUUUAAAGAAAAAAGAAAACAGAAUAAGAAAUUCAACACUUACAACACCUUUUCUUCCCUGUGCUAAUGCUACCUGGAAUACAAUCUACCUAGAAAAUAUUAAUGUAAAACCAUUCCUUACACAAUUAAAUUCAGAAAUAACAUGUAUCAAUUACAGAGUUAGUUUUUGAUAGCUUAAAAACAAUCGAGGGAACAUAUUUGUGUGAAGGUGCUAAUAUGUAUUCUCUUGUAGAACAGGUUGAGGAAUGUUUGGAACUUGAGAAUGAUAGGGUUUCCAAUUAUUUGCAUAACAACAAUGAGCAGAAGUUAUUAAAUGUGAACAUUUAGGAUUGACAAUUAACUAUGAGGUGUUCAAUGAUCAUAGAACAUAGGGAUAUUAGCUACAAUCUUCUCCUCAUUUUUUUUUGGCAGAAAGAAAAAAAUGAAUUACUGACUCAUUAUAAGGACCAAAUUUUGAAAUUGGAUUCUAGUCUCCGGGACUUGCUUAGGGCUGACAAGGUAUAGAUUUGACUUAGCUCCAGAAACUUACUGAUUUGCUAGGAUGUGACAUUUUUUUUUGUUUAUGUCAGCCACCUAUAUUGAACAGUGCCCAUAAUUUGGUUUCUAUUAUAGAAAGAUGAUGUUUCAAGGAUGUUUAGACUAUUUCAUAAAAUAUAGCAAGUCUUGAAUCCAAUCACAUUUCCUUUCUUUUAUAAACAUUCUUUUGGACUGUCUUUUAUUAUGUUUAGACAUCCUGCCUAGUGCAAAGAUUUUCUAGCUGUCUUGUUUGUAUUUUUCAGUUUCUCAGUGUAGAAGGAACAACACUUUUUAAACAGGUAGAAGAUGCAGCAGCUAAUAUUGCAAUGUUUCUAUCUAUAAUCUUAAAUUGAUUUAUUAAUAACAGUUAAAACAUAGUUUCAAUUUAGUUAUAGAAAUAAUGCCCAUCAGCUAUUUGGAAGACUAAUAGUGGUUUUGUGACAUGUUUAUGUAAACUUGCAUGACUUGCAUGUUCUUCAGCAAGGGAGAAGGGAUACCAGUGGAACUCGGGAUCAGGUAAAGUUUUUUCCUUCCUUUUUUAGUUCACCUUACGCUAGUAUUACACUAAUAGAAGGCACACAAUCUUCUAUAACAUAUUUUUCAAUUAUGUCAAGCUUAAACUGUUGGCAUUUGUCAUUGAUGUCAACUAGAUUCAUUAAGUCUCAUCCUUUCAGAUUUCAAUCAGCCUCAUACAUAUAGAUGGUAUAAACAGUGAUAUACAUCUUUGAAAUGCGUCAUACUAUUUGUUGUUAAAUAUUGGAUUGCGGAGAUAUAUUAACUUAAUUAUAAGACCUGUAUGAGAUUAAUGAGAUUGAAGUAUUUUUAUGUAUUUGUUCUCUGUGUUGGGUUCAAACUUCUCUUCCCAUGAGCAAAUCUGGAAUAUACAUAUAUACACUUGUUUGUAAUCAACUUAUUGAUGUCGGAACUAAGCCUGUGUAUCAGAGAAAUGAAUAAUCAGAUAUCUAAAUCAUAUUAAAAUAAUUCUUAUGGUUGGUUACAACUGAAGCAGUUAUAACUUCUUUAUUUGUUGAGAUUAAGUAAUCUAUUUGUUAGUGGGAUAGUUAUAAUUGGCCACCGAUUUGUGGAGGUUAUGUUUGAUGGAACAUUUAUUUUUGUUUUAAUUGAGUCUCCUUUCAUCGAUAUAGACUUUUAUAAAAAGAAGACAUCAUAAUAAAAAGAAACAUGAUGGAAUAGAAGUUGGGAUAGUUGAUAGUUGUCAGUUAUAGUUUGUUGCAACUUAUUAGUAAUUUAUUAAUAGAUUGCAGUUGGCCGGUUCACUUCAUAUAUUUUAUUUAUACAUUCCUUUAUUGAAAAAUGUGUUGAGAAUGUGGAAACUCGAUAGAAAGAGUAUGUUAGUAUUUUAAAAGAUUUUUGUGAAAAAUAAGUAUUGGAGACGUGAGAGAAAAAAACCAACAUUUAUAUAAAUGCUGAGUGAUAUGAAGUCAGAAAACUUUAGGUAAACAGUGAAUUCUAAUACUGAAAUGAAAAGCAUCUUGGCAAUCAAUAAAAGUGUACAAAGUGAAAAGAGGAGAACAUAUCACAAACAGGAGACGUGAAGGGUAACAUUCCAGAUUUCAGUGACUUAGAUGUAAGUUUGAGAUUUAUCUCAGUAUAUCCAGGUAUUCACAUAUAUAAGAAUUAUAUUUGAUUCAGUCAUUACUCUUGAAUUAUGACAGAGUUUAAAAGAUGACCUGUUCCAAAUUUUAGUCCUCUUCUUUUGAGUUGUAACAGAUUUUUUAUGGCAAUUACUGUUAUUGUGAUUCAUUGAAUACAUUGUGAAGUUAAAUAACUCUUAGAACUCUCAGACAUGCAGAAUUACUUUGAGAAUCUGACAUGAUAAAUCAGUCUCAUUUGGAAGAUUCUUGAAAAUAUUUGGGAUUUGUUUUGUUACAGAUUUCUAUUGAUAUUGGACAUCUACUCUCAGAUUUGAACUUAUGAUUUUUAGUAUUCUCCAGUCUUGUCAAAAAAUUUAUUAUAUCAGAUUAACAAAGGUUCAUUGUUUUGAAAAAGAGUUAAAGCAGUGUUGAUUGGAGUGAUUUGCAGAUCUCACUCAGUAUUUAAGCACACAGAGAUGCAUUAAUUUCAGUGCAGAUCUGAUUCAGAUUCAUAACAUUCUUCUCUGCAGAUUUGUUUCAGAUAUACAGAGGUAUCUUGACAAUGUCAUUUCAUCAACAUAAUUUUUUAUGGCCUACUAGGAUAUAUGUUAGUACCAAAAACUGACUUUUAUGUAGUUUAGGUGUUCAAUUGAUUCGGGUUGAUAGAUAAACACAAUUUUUGUGCAUGUAGAAGUUAAAAUAAUUCAAAUGCUGGUGAACCUCAAAACUCACAACUUUUGUCUUAUAAAGCAUGCAAGAAAAAAUCUCUCUUAGACAACCAAACAAUAUAAUCUAGCGUGCUUAAAUUUUGUUUAAAUUUCUUAGUGAGAACAAAAACCAUGUUAAUGGGAACUGUACCAUGGAAGGGAAUUUUACUGCCAAGACAAUAGACCUGAUUUUUUGUCGAUUCUCUAAGCUUCAAAUAUUAUUAAGGUUCACGUUGAGGAUUAGAAUCAGACCAUGUAACAAUCCUGGGAUUCAACAAGUGAUCAAUACUACAGUUGUAGCAGAAGCAUAACCAUACCUAGUUGGAGAAGAUGCGUAAGCAAGGGCAUUCAUCGCUAAGGUCAGAUACGGAUCAAUACCCAGCAGCACACUGUAUAGUUCAUUCCAUUGAUUUUUCAAUUGGAGGACGUGUUAAAUUCAAGAGCAUAAUAGGUGGCAUGAUCUGUAUAUUUUAUUUCCCAUGGCACCUCCAAGAAAAUUUAGCAAGAAAAGGAGAAGGGAUGGUGGUUUUGCAACAGAAGCCUCCAUGAACAAUACUGAGUCAGACUGGUGGGAGGAGGUCUCUCACAAGCUCUCUACUACAGAGGCUGCAGAGCCCAUCAAAGCAGAGUCCUGAUGGUUGCUUCAAACAGAUGGCGACCCAGAAAAGACUUGCAGAGAUCAGAUCUAUGGAAAAUCGAGUACGAGCGUGAGAAACAAAGCAUGCAAACAUAUGGAUAGCACGCAUUCCCCAUUCUAGGUAGCUGUGGCCUGCAAGGGCUUUGCGUGGCAUUUGGUUGAGGAGAAAGUGUGCUCACUGCAGGUUCUGAUUGAUAAAAGGAAGACAUACUUCUAGGCAAUCUCGAAGAGGAUUAAAGAGAACGACAAACAUUUUAGGUAUGAUUUCCUUAGUAAAUUUAGGGUUUCUUUACGGUUUCUGAAAUUGCAUCUGGAGUUUUCUCCGCCUUGCUCUGACACGCAAAAUUCUUGGGCUGAUUCACUCCUUCCUCUGGACCAAAGCCUCUCAAGAAAAUUACAUCCCCUCUUUUGAAAAUUGAAAGCCCAAAUAAAUCCCUCAAAGCAUUUAGGGUUUUUUAUGGUUUCUGAAAUUGCAUCUGGAGUUUUCUCCGCCUUGCUCUGACAUGCAAAAUUCUUGGGCUGAUUCGCAGACCAUCAGCUUACAAAUUCCCGCCAUGCGGCAAGUAUAUGGUUUAUUUUGCAUUUUGCAAUUUUUCCCCCUUGUUUUCUAUAUGUUUUUUUUAGCGUGCUUUAUAAUUGAGUAUUUGUUUACUUGAAAUGGAAGAAAUCGGGUGUUUUAAACUUGCUAGUCACAUUGCAGAUGUGUGCAUAUUUUGAUUGGGUGUUUGAGUUUGUCUUUAGGAUUUUUCCCUGUUUUCUAUCCAACUUCUCUUAGAGCUCUCUGUAAUUCCAUGAUAUUGUGAUUUACUUCCAACGGAAAAAGUGAUUUGAUUGGGAACCAUCAACCAAGUAGUCAUAUUGAUAGUUGGGGACACACCUUAUAGCAUAAGAUGUUUCAUUUUUUACUUUCAAAAUCAUGCCCAGACCAUUGUUCCCAAAUUUACCACUCUUUUAAAUUUAGUGUUGUGGAAUGGAGUUGAAUUGGUAACCAACCUCUGACAUAGAACCUGCUCUGGAAUAAAUUCUCAAAUGAAUUGGCCACUUUCCAAAUAUUUCUAACAAAUAUGGUUUCAAGGAAUUCCAAAUCUUGGCUGCAAAGUAAAAAAUUUGAAGUUUAUAUAAACUGUGAAAGAGCAGAAACAGUAGGAGGCAUUGGUGUUUGAACAAAUAAAAAGAUUAGAAUGUCAAGUCCUACUAAAAGGAAAGCUAUAAAGUUUAGGGGAAUUAGAUGUUAAAGUGUCAGGUUGCUCCCUCAAAUAACAUCGUUAUCCAACAUCAGAGCUCAUUUUCUGUAUCUAUUGAUAUGAUGGGGUGGAAAUUGAUAUGAUAAGAGUGGAUAGAAUUUGAAAUGUCGAACUAAGAUGAAUUCUUAAUGUCAUACUUUACGUACUAAUUUUUAGGAUAUGAUUUCUUAUCAUAUAUGUAUGUACUGUAUUGACAAAACUCUUGGCAUUUUUGCUGGUCAUAUAUGGACAUAUUACAAUUGAUCAAGGUUAGCCUAUGAAAAGUAAUAUCCUGGAAUUAAUAGUCCUUGUGCAAUGCUGCUUUUUGGAUGCAUAUUUUAUCAUAUUUGUUUGCAGCUAAUGAAAGCUAAUCUGUAAAUUGUUUUGGUCUUUAAAUAAGAGUCCAUGAUUCUUGCAAUAAAGCCAAAAUGCUCUGAAUUUUUUAUUCAUGGUCUGUCAAGCAGUAAUAUUAAGAAUUUGAUCUUAGAUGCAAAUUGUGUGAAGUAUCUUGAUUUAAGCUUUUUUAUAUGCUCCAAUGCUUGGUAUCUCCCUCCUGCCCCCAACCAAGUGAAAAUCAUGGCAAAUGGCAUUAUAGAUUGAGAGAGUAAAUACCGGAACAUCAAGCGGCUGUGAGAUGUUGAUAGGGGACCAAAUGUUCCAAAUUGAUGACAUCACGCUUUCAGCGAUCGAUUUUGGCCUACAAAGUUAUACAGGUACCCCCUCCGCAUCUAGGACUCGUCCUAAGAAAAAUAAUUCUUCGAAGACGCCAAAACGUCGAAAGAAGGGGCCAUUGAGCUAUGUGGAUUUGUUGAAUGCACCUGAUUCGCCUAUGGAUCAAGAGAGGGAAGAGGAAAUAUCCAUAGCUAUUUCAUCAAUGGCAAACCCUCCUCUGUGCACUGGAGAAGCAUUUCAAGAUUCGCUAAUAGUGACAGUUUCUCUAUCGAUGGUGAGCCAUCCUCAGUCCAUUGGAGAAGCAUCUUAGGCACGAGGCCAUAACGUGGAUCCAUUUUAGUAUGUCUUCAAGAAAAAUCCUAAGAGUGACAAGGAGAGGAGAGCAAAGACAUUAGCUCCUACAUCAGCUGAUUAGCCAUCUAUAGAGCUGCGUACUACAUCGAAGAGGCUUAAUUUUGAUGAUCCACCACAAGUUUAGGAUCAUAUAGUGUUAGUUUUGGUCAUAUAAUUACCAAUACAUGUAUAUAUAUUCUACAUUUUUAUUGUAUAUUGAUUUGGACAUGGCAUAUGCCACAUUUUUGUAAUUCUUGUAUUGACUUGGCAGACAUGCCU